AACCUCCGCAAUGUGAGAAAUCGCGACGGGGGGAUCCCAAGUGCCAUUCUUAACGGGAUGGCUUUUCUUAAGUGUAAAAAGCUUUUGGAAUAAGAGCUGGGCAAGACCGGUGCCAGCCGCCGCGGUAACACCGGCAGCUCUAGCGGUAGCUGUUUUUAUUGGGCCUAAAGCGUUCGUAGCCGGUUUGAUAAGUCACUGGUGAAAUCCUGUAGCUUAACUGUGGGAAUUGCUGGUGAUACUGUUGAACUUGAGGUCGGGAGAGGUUAGCGGUACUCCCAGGGUAGAGGUGAAAUUCUGUAAUCCUGGGAGGACCACUGUGGCGAAGGCGGCUAACUGGAACGAACCUGACGGUGAGGGACGAAAGCUAGGGGCGCGAACCGGAUUAGAUACCCGGGUAGUCCUAGCCGUAAACGAUGCGGACUUGGUGUUGGGAUGGCUUUGAGCCGCUCCGGUGCCGAAGGGAAGCUGUUAAGUCCGCCGCCUGGGAAGUACGGUCGCAAGACUGAAACUUAAGGAAUU
rnacentral:rRNA from 1 species